rnacentral:rRNA from 1 species
UGGGGAAUAUUGGACAAUGGGCGCAAGCCUGAUCCAGCAAUUCCGCGUGUGUGAAGAAGGCCUUCGGGUUGUAAAGCACUUUAGGCAGGGAAGAAAAAAUCGGCGUGAAUAAUGCCGGUCUUGACGGUACCUGAUGAAUAAGCACCGGCUAACUCUGUGCCAGCAGCCGCGGUAAUACAGAGGGUGCAAGCGUUAAUCGGAUUUACUGGGCGUAAAGCGUGCGUAGGCGGUUCAUUAAGUCGGUUGUGAAAUCCCUGGGCUUAACCUGGGAACUGCAGUCGAUACUGGUGAACUAGAGUGCGGUAGAGGGUGGCGGAACUCCGGGUGUAGCGGUGAAAUGCGUAGAUAUCCGGAAGAACACCGAUGGCGAAGGCAACCACCUGGGCCUGCACUGACGCUGAGGUACGAAAGCGUGGGGAGCAAACAGGAUUAGAUACCCCCGUAGUCC